rnacentral:misc_RNA from 1 species
UGAGAGAGAAAAGAGAAAUACUAAGUUUCAUGUUGGAACUGUUCAUGUCAGAGUCUAAUUGAAAAACCGAUAAUUAGAGGUUAGAGAGAUUUACUGUGCAAAAUGUGAAAGUUGACGGGGUUUUAUGUUAUAUUUUUAAGUUUAGAAACUGUAAUGCUACAACUAGAUAAGUUUAGGGACAGUUGUCAAAAUUUAUCCAAGAUUCGAGCCAGGUGAAAAAGUGCUUUGCAAUUGGGGGAUUUUAGGAAGCGGAUUUCAACAGAAAAGAAUAUUGUAUGCAAUUACUACACAAAUACAACAGUAAAAAGAGCAGGUGAAUUAUACAAAUGGUAUUUCAAUUUAGAAAUAUGUAACAAUAUAAUAACAUAAACCCGCCUUUUAAGUAACAUAAAACCUACUUGUAACUUUCAAUAGCUGAAUUUUAAACUAUUUAUACCGACGUGAUAUUUGUCAAAAUGAAAUAUUAUAUUUUCACAUAUUGAUAGUUUUGGUAAACAAGUACUGAAUUAUUGAAGUGUCAUUUUGUGCAAUUUAAUGGGGCUGUAGAUAAAUAAAUAACAAUUAUUAUUAUUUUUUUAUAAGUGUCAAACUAAUAGGAAAAAAGAAAUGUCUUUUUUAAUCUAAGAAGUGUCAUACCGACAAAAAUAAUCUAGAAACUGGCUACUAAAUAUCAUAGGGAGUUUUAUAUUACUUAAAUUAAAGAUGAAGAGAAGUUAAGCUACCAUUUAUGUAAUUUACUCUAAAGAGGGCCAUAACCAUCACUCAAAUGAAAUGUUUACACUUCAGGACCAACAAACAUGUACCAAUUCAUCGGAUGCAACCAACAAUAUAUAGUAUUGAGUAGAACCAACUUUGACCUCCAAAAGUAAAUUCAGACGAGUGCAAAAUAUCUCACUUGAACUUGACUCAUCAAUUGAUAUACCAGUUGAGAAAAUUAUCACUCUUGGAAUGGUUA